UACGUAGGGGGCAAGCGUUGUCCGGAUUUAUUGGGCGUAAAGAGCGUGUAGGCGGUUUGGUAGGUCCGCUGUGAAAACUCGAGGCUCAACCUCGAGACGCCGGUGGAAACCAUCAGACUAGAGUCCGGAAGAGGAGAGUGGAAUUCCUGGUGUAGCGGUGAAAUGCGCAGAUAUCGGGAGGAACACCAAUGGCGAAGGCAGCUCGCUGGGACGGUACUGACGCUGAUGCGCGAAAGCGUGGGUAGCAAACAGG
rnacentral:rRNA from 1 species